rnacentral:rRNA from 1 species
GCGUGGAUUAGGCAUGCAAGUCGAACGGUAGGAACCUUUCGGGGUUUUGAGAGUGGCGAACGGGUGAGUAACACGUAGGUGAUCUACCCUCAAAUUGGGGACAACCCAGGGAAACUUGGGCUAAUACCGAAUGAGAGCAUCCUUAGGGAUGUUUAAAAGAUGGCUUCGGCUGUCGUUUGAGGAUGAGCCUGCGCUCUAUUAGUUAGUUGGUGAGGUAACGGCUUACCAAGGCGAUGAUAGAUAGGCGGCCUUAACGGGUGGUCGCCCACACUGGGAUUGAGAUACGGCCCAGACUCCUACGGGAGGCAGCAGUCGAGAAUAGUCUACAAUGGUCGAAAGACUGAUAGUGCGACGCCGCGUGAACGAUGAAGCCCUUCGGGGUGUAAAGUUCUUUUAUAUGUGAGCAGUGACAUUUAUGUGAAUAGCAUGAGUGUAGAGAUAUUAGCAUAUGAAUAAGCAACGGCUAACUCCGUGCCAGCAGCCGCGGUAACACGGGGGUUGCGAGCGUUGUCCGGAAUUACUAGGCGUAAAGGGCAGGUAGGCGGAUCUAUAAGUUUUUUGUUUAAGGCAGCG